rnacentral:lncRNA from 1 species
UUUUGUUUUGUUCAUUUUAUGGUUUUCUAUUCCAAUUCAGUAUUGUUUAAUUGAUAUUUUCUCAACCAUAUUUUCUCUGCUAGACUCUAUUCCCUCGGGAAAAAAAUGUGGAGCACACCGAAGAGCAUACCCAAUGUUAAAGAUAGACAACAGUGUGCCAAAAGAAAAAUCAGGGCAGUCCUUUUCAUUUCCAUUCUCUCUCUUCAAAAUGUUUAGCUGCAAACAUUGAGGACAAUAUUCAUAUUAAGU